rnacentral:rRNA from 1 species
AUUGAACGCUGGCGGCAGGCCUAACACAUGCAAGUCGAGCGAGCGGCGGACGGGUGAGUAAUGUAUGUGGACUGCCCGAGAGGGGGGGAUAACUACUGGAAACGGUGGCUAAUACCGCAUACUGUAGGAUAACCCAUAUGUGAUUAGCGAGUAGGUAAGGUAAUGGCUUACCUAGUGGACGAUCCCUAGCUGGUCUGAGAGGAUGAUCAGCCACACUGGUACUGAGAAACGGUCCAGACUCCUACGGAGGCAGCAGUGGGGAAUAUUGCACAAUGGGCGCAAGCCUGAUGCAGCCAUGCCGCGUGUAUGAAGAAGGCCUUAGGGUUGUAAAGUACUUUCAGUCGGGAGGCGUUACCGACAGAAGAAGCACCGGCUAACUCCGUGCCAGCAGCCGCGGUAAUAC